GUGAGGAAUCUUCCACAAUGGGCGAAAGCCUGAUGGAGCAACGACGCGUGCAGGAUGAAGGCCUUCGGGUCGUAAACUGCUUUUAUAAGUGAAGAAUAUGACGGUAACUUAUGAAUAAGCACCGGCUAACUACGUGCCAGCAGCCGCGGUCAUACGUAGGGUGCAAGCAUUAUCCGGAGUGACUGGGCGUAAAGAGUUGCGUAGGUGGUUUGUUAAGUAGGUAGUGAAAUCUGGCGGCUCAACCGUACAGGCUAUUACCUAAACUGGCAAACUCGAGAAUGGUAGAGGUAACUGGAAUUUCUUGUGUAGGAGUGAAAUCCGUAGAUAUAAGAAGGAACACCAAUGGCGUAGGCAGGUUACUGGACCAUUUCUGACACUGAGGCACGAAAGCGUGGGGAGCGAACGGGAUUAGAUACCCGUAGUCC
rnacentral:rRNA from 1 species